UACGUAGGGUGCGAGCGUUGUCCGGAUUUAUUGGGCGUAAAGAGCUCGUAGGCGGUUUGUCGCGUCGGCCGUGAAAUCUCCACGCUUAACGUGGAGCGUGCGGUCGAUACGGGCAGACUUGAGUUCGGUAGGGGAGACUGGAAUUCCUGGUGUAGCGGUGAAAUGCGCAGAUAUCAGGAGGAACACCGGUGGCGAAGGCGGGUCUCUGGGCCGAUACUGACGCUGAGGAGCGAAAGCUAGGGGAGCGAACAGG
rnacentral:rRNA from 1 species